CUCAGGAAUAAGAAAAGGGGGCUGGGGGAAUAGCCCAGCAGUUUGAGCAUUGGCCUGCUAAAUCCAGCAUUUGAUAGGCAGUGGUGAGGCCAUACCAGAAAGUAGGGCUGAAUAGAAGCAGAAACAAAACCAUCUCAGAGAAGAGUAAUAGGCACAUGCUGAGUGGACAGUUGCCUGUGAAUGGAGAAGCUGAGCCAGGACACCUUUGAAAACACUGGAAUAGGUCAGAAAUUCUAGGGAAGCUGAGUUUUCUUUCCCCUGGAUCUUGCAUGGGACUGCUACAGAAGAGAGUAUCAGCAACUCAGAUCAAUAUCAAACUGAAU